UACGGAGGGGGCAAGCGUUGUUCGGAGUCACUGGGCGUAAAGGGCUCGUAGGUGGUUUAGUAAGUCAGGGGUUAAAGGCAUCGGCUCAACCGGUGUACGGCCUUUGAAACUGCUAAACUAGAAUACCAGAGAGGAAUGUGGAAUUUCCGGUGUAGCGGUGAAAUGCGUAGAUAUCGGAAGGAACACCAGUAGCGAAGGCGACAUUCUGGCUGUGUAUUGACACUGAGGAGCGAAAGCGUGGGUAGCAAACAGG
rnacentral:rRNA from 1 species